rnacentral:lncRNA from 1 species
GGAAAGGUUAAGGUAGAAGAAUAUUCUGAUUUGUCUCUCCCAGAAAUAUAAAUAUAUUUUCUAAGGAAAAUAGUGACAGCAAAGAUUUGAAAGAGGAGAAUAUGUGGUUGUUAGAGAGGAGGCUAGAUAAAUGUGUCUUAAGGGAGAAUAGCUACAUCUGAGGAGGAAAUAUUUUAAACAUCGAAACUAUCAGGUCUAUAAUUUGAAGUGUUUUAAAUACAGGAAUGAGUUACAUGUAAUAGCAAAAUUUCAUAUAAUUGUUCAUGAGAUGGCAAAAGUGAAUAAUACAGUUGCUCAAAUUCACCUACAUGAGAAAGGAAAAGUCAUAACAGGAAAAGAUGAGAGUCAGAGGUCUCUUAUAAAUUUGAGUAGGUAAUGCUAAGUAAAAU